GGAGUGAGGAUGAGGGGUGUGGAGCCAGUGGAGAAAGUGAAGUGUUGGAGUUAUGAUCCAUCAGCUUAUGGGGGUGGGAUGGUGUUGUGGCUAUUUCUGCAACUUUAAAGUCAAGUGAAGGAGUCUCAAGGGGUCAUUUGUAAAGGCAAGGGUCCUGAAGGAAGUGUGCUUGAUCACUGUGGUAUCUUCUAUUACUGCUGUAACACAUUGCUACAAAUUUAGUAACUUCAAGGGCUUCCCUGGUGACUCAGACGGCAAAGAAUCUGCCUGCAUUAAACAAUGCAAGUUUAUGAUUUUACAGCUUUGGAAGUCCAAUCAAUCUCAGACCCAUGUGAUUACCUUGGACCUACCUGCAUAACCCAAGAUAAUCUCACCGUCUCAGGAUCCUUCACUGAACUACAUCUGCAAAAUCAAAGAGAUCUACUGACCAUGUAAGGGCUGGGACUCCAAGGAGAGAAUGGAGAAUCCUGGAAAGACAUAGCAGAUAUCUUUUCUUGAGUGCCACUUGCAACACCCCAAGAAUGAACAUUUUCCCCUGAGCCCACACUUGUCUUAGUUAUGUAUGGUUAUCUGUAUAGAAAAUUGAGGGCAGGAGGAGAAGGUGGCAACAGAGGAUUAGAUAGUUGGAUGGCGUCAUCAACCUGAUGGACAUGAGUUUGAGCAAACUCCGAGAGAUGGUGAUGACAGGGAAGCCUGGCGUGCUGCAGUCCAUGGGGUCGCAAAGAGUCAGACAGGACUUAGGGACUGAACAACAACAGUCUUUGUGGUUGAAUAGUAUGGAGGCCCAUUUUAAGCUGAGUUAGAGGAAAGGAUUUUCAACAUAGCAGUACUCAAGUAAACUGCUUGAAUGGUUGUUUUUCUGGAGUGAACCACAACUCAGCCUCAAAUUUGCCUGGAAAGAGGCACCUGAAGAUGAUAUGUCAACAUCUAGCACCCUGACUCAUAUUCUAUUCCUGCAACUGUGUGCUCUAUGGGAGCAGGGCGGUUAGGAGGGCCAAUGACCACAGGUUCUCAUCCUAGUUUAUCACUACCAGAUAUGUGACUUUGACUGAGUUUCUGAAUCUUUUAUGCCAACAUACCUAACCCAGAGUAGGUUUCCAUUUCUUUCUUCAGUGGAUCUUUCCCUGGGUCGGGAAGAUCUCCUGGAGAAGGAAAUGGCAACCAACUCCAGUAUUCUUGCCUGGAUUCCAUGGAUAGAGAAACCUGGAGGGCGGGUUGCAGUCCAUGGGGUCGCAAAGAGUCAGACGUGACUAAGCACGAGCAUGCACACACACCCCUAACCCAAAUAAGCAAACACAAUCUUUCUUGGUAGAUUUUUGGCAUUCUUCAGUAUUUGCAAUGGUGGGGGCCCAUUACGUGAACUUUUGCAGCUCCACUAUUGAGUUUCAAGGAAGAGAAGUCUCCGGCUGAGUCCUGCUACACAUAGAUGUCUAUUAGCAAGUAGGUACAGGACAUGUAUCGUCCCUAUUCAGUAAGUUUGGUGGAAGCUCGGCUAUUGAUUCCCUAUAGCACCCCUUGCAUAAAAGUCACCUCUGAGGCCAGUGCAGCUAUAUUUCAGUGGCAGGAUUCUGUGAGCUGUUUUGUUGGAGUCAGGCAACCAACAAAACCCUGGAAUCAGCAGGUACACUCAGGACCUUUUACAAAUGCUGAUCAGCCUUGGGGGUCAUUGAUAAGGGUUAAGUUUCUUAUGUACCACUGAUGCCAGUGGCUCUUGAAAUUAUAUUUUUCAUCUAUGUAUGUUGAACAAGCUAUUAAUUUGACCAAUGAAAACUCAUGUUUAAUAUCCAUUAGGCUAAUGAAAAAGCUUCAAGUGCUGGUGAGAGAUAAAAACAGCUGAGGAGCUUAUAGCAGCUCCCUCUGGAGUGGGGCCUUCUGAUUAGAUGCCAGCAAACCACCCAUGGAGUGUAUAUUCCUGAUUAGGGCAUGACUGUCAUGAGGGUGUAGGCCAAACGAACUAAUAUGCAUAUUUAUAGCACAUUGUUUAUGUUGAAAUAUUUUAAAGCAAGCUACAGAUGACAUGAGACCUCUCACACCCUGGCUUCCUCUUCUGUAAAAUGAGGGUAAUGACACCUACCUCACACGGUUGUCACCAGACUAAUAAACUAAGAGAAAGCUUAGUAUGUGGUUUAGUCAUUCAGUUGUGUCCAACUCUUGCAGCCCCAUGGACUGUACCCCUCAAGGUUCCUGUGUCCAUGGGAUUUUCCAGGAAAGAAUACUGAAGUGGGUAGCCAUUUCCUUCUCCAGGGGAUCUUCCUGACCCAGGGAUCGAACCCCCAUCUCCUGUGUUACAGACGAUCUCCUGCAUUGCAGGCAGAUUUCUUUACCAACUGAGCCACCAGGGAAGCUCAAAGCUUAGUAUAUUGCCUGGUAAAUACUAGCGGCUCAGAAGGUGUUAGCUGAUAUUGUUAUUUCUUGCCUAGAUACACUUAAGCAAACUUUUUUGAGAAAUUAUGUACCCUAUUGAACACUUCAAAGUUGACAUCUAAAACUUUUCAUUACAGACAUACGUAAUAGAAAAGGAUUUAAUUUCUGACAUGUAGCAAUUAUUACAAUUUUAAAUUAAAACUGAUAUAUCAAUCUUUUAAAUAUAUACAAUGAAAUCUAAAUACAAUGCUUGGGUGCCGGGUAUCCUGAUUUUAAAAACACACAAGCAAACUUUUCUUUCCUGUGAAAACUCUUCUGUGAUAAAGUAGGACAUUUUAUUUCUUUACUUUUUCUUCUUGAAUUUGCAUUUCCAUUUCACUUACCCUACAAAAUUUUCUUCUAAUGUAAUAUAUUGAAAGCCUCUUACUGAUUGGGCUGUUGAGUUUUUUGCAACAAAUGUAUGUAUGUAAAUAAAAGUUUUAUAAUUCAUUUUAUUUCCUGUUACCUUAAGCCUCCAAAUGUUAGAAAUAUUUAGUUUGGGUUACCAUCACAGUUAUUUUUUUUUUUUGUGAGGAGUUGAUCAGAAUGACAU
ensembl:lncRNA